UACGUAGGGUGCGAGCAUUGUCCGGAUUUAUUGGGCGUAAAGAGCGUGUAGGCGGCCAGGUAGGUCUGCUGUGAAAACUCGAGGCUUAACCUCGAGAUGUCGGCGGAAACCAUCUGGCUAGAGUCCGGAAGAGGAGAGUGGAAUUCCUGGUGUAGCGGUGAAAUGCGCAGAUAUCAGGAAGAACACCCGUGGCGAAGGCGGCUCUCUGGGACGGUACUGACGCUGAGACGCGAAAGCGUGGGGAGCGAACAGG
rnacentral:rRNA from 1 species